CACAUGCUCUCCCAACCCUGCCUUAAAACAAAAGCCGCUUGAAAUAAUUAAUCCAAGAUCUGGCAGGGGUCUGCUCUCAAGAAGGCUUUUUUUUUCUUCUUCUUCUUUCUUUCUUUUCGUAACUAGCCAGCCUACCAUACUCAGAUAAGGCCAGCCGCACACCCUCCGCCCCACUUCUCCAGAAACUCCAAGGCUCGGAACAACGGGGUCAGGACGCCAAAGCCCCGGGAAGGUUUCAGUACCCCAGACCAACCAAUUCCUUUCCACUGACCGGCUCCGAAAGGCCCUCCUUUCAAGUGGCUUGGGUGGAGUCAGACCCACGCCCAACCUGUAUCACCUGAAACGCCAAAGAAGCCUCAGGAUGUAUUGGCCGUGAGCCUGUUUUUGUACCGAGCGCUGUGGCACCAGAGACCCAUCAAGGUCGUGGGAGUCAGCGGGGUUCUACUGUCCUGCGAUUUUCAGUGCCUGAGGAGACAGACAGUAAACAAGGAAGCAAACAGAUAAAAAUGACUCAAUCUCAUCUUCCAGUUAAGCUUAAUCUGUUAAUUGAAAGUGGUAAACACUUUCCCUAACUCUUGGGAAUUUGUGACACUCAAACACGAUUAUGCAUACGAGCGCUUUGUUAUUUAAAAGCACGGUGCUUAAGGUAUUAAAUAACUUGGCUAAGAUCACGUCGCAGUAGGCAACGACUGGUUUAGCACUUAAUUACAUAAUUGUCUUAAAACAAUUGCUUUUCUCUAUGAUCUGGCCUUGAGGAUCCGAAUCAUGGACAGAUCCAGCUCAUUACACCUCUUAUUGGGCAAUCGCAAAAGCUUCCUAACCGGCCUGACACUAGUGUAGGCCUCAGACUUAGAGCCCACGUGAAUCACUUCUAUUAAGAGAUGUUACAUAUGCAGACUCCCAGGCCUCCAGCUCAGAGAUUCUGAUUCAGUAGUUAAAGGGUGGGCCCCAGAAUGCCUUGUCUCCACCUCCCCCCACCCCUCCGCUGCCAAAUUCCCUUGCAAUUAUGCUAAGAGAAAGAAUGCUCUGAUCUUACUCAAAAUCCAGCCUCUCUGCUGGGCCAGCAUUUUAUAUUACUGAAACAUGAAUCUGAUCGCUUACUUAUCUCGCUUUAUUGGUCCCUGUUAUUUACUGGAUAAAGUCAAAUUAUAGCAGACUGUUUCAGUGUGGCCUUUGCCUGUUUUCCUAGUGCCAGAUACACUCUUCUUCCUCACAUAUUCUUGGUUAGCUCCAAAGCUUUUGUUGUUGACAUCCCUUGAACACAGGAUAUUCUUUCUUGACUGUGAUUUUGUACACGGUAUGACUUAUGUUUAAGUGCCUUUCCUUUCUGUAACUGACACAACUUGGCAAGAUUCAGCUAACAAUACACUUCUUCUGUGGCUCACCGUU